rnacentral:rRNA from 1 species
CAGCCGCCACGGGAACACGAAGGGUGCAAGCGUUACUCGGAAUUACUGGGCGUAAAGCGUGCGUAGGUGGUGGUUUAAGUCCGUUGUGAAAGCCCUGGGCUCAACCUGGGAAUUGCAGUGGAUACUGGGUCACUAGAGUGUGGUAGAGGAUAGUGGAAUUUCCGGUGUAGCAGUGAAAUGCGUAGAGAUCGGAAGGAACAUCUGUGGCGAAGGCGACUAUCUGGGCCAACACUGACACUGAGGCACGAAAGCGUGGGGAGCAAACAGGAUUAGAUACCCCUGUAGUCCCUGUCUCUUAUAA